UCCAGUCCAAGAAUAAGUAAAUGGCAUCCUUCCAGUGGAGAGCUGACAGCUGGGAUUGAAACAAAUGCAUAGUAAAUAUUUUCUUUAAAUUAGAUGAAAAAUUUUCAUCCAUGUCAACCAUGAAAGACAGAGUUGAUCUCAGCCUGAGCUAGAGAUGGAUCCCCAUCCAUGUACCUUUGCUCAACUGUCCUCAGACCAUUAUUCAAGAAUCUCAGCUUCUGCUUUGCAAAUGAGUUGAAAGCUUAAGGAUUUGACCCCAACUUUCAAGAUCCAGAAUUCACCCUGCUGUUUCUCCAUGAGUCUGACCUGCAUCAACUGCCUCCCUUAUUCUGGGAUUCCAGUUGUGGAGCUCAAGGACAAGUCCAUUCUGGGCUGGCUGUAUCCAACUUCUUUAGUCCAACUAUAUCCCCACUGGAAGCCAGGCUCUUUCCAACAGCUGUCACCCAUGCCUCUUUCUAUGUUUGUUAUCUGUCUCUAGGUUCUGGUAACUACUUCCUUCCCUUGCCCCUUCUGGCCUAGGGUGCUACCAAUCCCUCCUCCAAAUCCAACUGUCACUAGCCUCAAAGUACUUGUAGCUUCCUCACCUUACUUUCACCUUAAUAAAUGGUCCCCCUACUAUCUCUCUUCAAAGCACCCAAUUUGAGUGUGCCAUCUGUUUCUUGCCAGGAUCCUGGUUGGUACAUCAACCAAGCUGCACUGAUGGAGGAGCACUGUGCUGAACUUUAGGAAUGAAGCCACAGGGCCCUCACUGCCCCCAUAGUCACCUUGGUCAUCUUCUGCCUCCCUGAAAGACUAAAUUCAGUCAGUUCAGAUACAUACACAUCCAGACAUGUCAGGGAAAACUCCAUUUUGUAAGGAUCUCUGCUUAAAAUGCCAAAAGUUUGAAAGUUGGCAAACACUUGAGAAAAGCACAGUUCUCUGUCUUACUCUUACUCUAAACUUGGAGAUAAAUGCAUUUUUAAAAUUGUGCAUGUUAGAGUGCUAACGUGUAC
rnacentral:lncRNA from 10 species